UGAACGCUGGCGGCAGGGCCUAACACAUGCAAGUCGAGCGGAUGACAGGAGCUUGCUCCUGAAUUCAGCGGCGGACGGGUGAGUAAUGCCUAGGAAUCUGCCUGGUAGUGGGGGUACAACGUUUCGAAAGGAACGCUAAUACCGCAUACGUCCUUACGGGAGAAAGCAGGGGACCUUCGGGCCUUGCGCUAUCAGAUGAGACCUAGGUCGGAUUAGCUAGUUGGUGAGGUAACUGGCUCACCAAGGCGACGAUCCGUAACUGGUCUGAGAGGAUGAUCAGUCACACUGGAACUGAGACACGGUCCAGACUCCUACGGGAGGCAGCAGUGGGGAAUAUUGGACAAUGGGCGGAAGCC
rnacentral:rRNA from 1 species